CUUAAUUUUUACGUUCUCGUCUCGGUUUUCGUUUAAUUUAUGAAGAGCUAUAUUAAAAUAAACUUUUAAAAAGUAAUUCUAAACACGUUAAAAAUUUUGGUUCUUCUUUCGUUUGGGUCCAUCGUUUAAUAAACCGCGGCGUUAAAAGAAGUCUUUUACGAAAGUAUAGCGUCCCUUCGUUUGAAUUCGAAUCGGCGUUUGCGUGUUUGGAUCACGGUACGCGGAUCCCGUUUUCGUGUUUUGAUUUUGUGUUAUUAAACUCAACCCUUAAAAUAAUAAUAAUAACCUAUAAAGAUAAAAGAAUUCUUACCACUCGGCAAUCUAGUUAGGUCAUUUUGGUGAUAAGGAUGUAAAUGUAAGAUUAUCGGAAAAUGGCGUCCCAUUUCAAACUUUCUUUCAUUGCUAGCGGGUUUAAAACAACGUUUUGUGCCAUUUUUCCGUGUUUGACAUCAAGACGCCUAAGAUGUCACGAGUAUGCUGAUUUAAGUUCUUGACGAACGAGGAGUGCCGGAGAAGUGUGCAGUGUUUCAUCAUUACUUUGGUUGAUAUGGUUCUUCCCAGGACAGACUGAAUUAUUGAGGCUAAAGGAUUGCAGAAAUGCGGCCUCAUAAGGCGCCAUCGACGUCGCUCAACCUGCUGAUGAGGAUUAUGCUGACCGCCAGUGCCGGAUUAAGUAUUCCUGAGGCAGGGUUUACCUACAAAAGCCCCCCUCCACCCCUCCCCUUAUCAAAAAUUUCAGUUCCAACUUUUACCUUCUAAGAUUAUCAACAAGCAAUUGAACAAGAAACUAAAUUUUUUGGUCCUCUGAUUA